ensembl:snRNA U6 U6 spliceosomal RNA
GUGCUCACACCAGCAGCACAUAUACUAAAAUUGUAACAAUACAGAGAAGAUUAGCAUGGCUCCUGAUCAAGGAUGGUAUGCAAAUUCAUGAAGUGUUCCACAUUUUU